rnacentral:rRNA from 1 species
GAUGAACGCUGGCGGCGUGCCUAAUACAUGCCAGUCGAGCGAACGGACGAGAAGCUUGCUUCUCUGAUGUUAGCGGCGGACGGGUGAGUAACACGUGGAUAACCUACCUAUAAGACUGGGAUAACUUCGGGAAACCGGAGCUAAUACCGGAUAAUAUUUUGAACCGCAUGGUUCAAAAGUGAAAGACGGUCUUGCUGUCACUUAUAGAUGGAUCCGCGCUGCAUUAGCUAGUUGGUAAGGUAACGGCUUACCAAGGCAACGAUGCAUAGCCGACCUGAGAGGGUGAUCGGCCACACUGGAACUGAGACACGGUCCAGACUCCUACGGGAGGCAGCAGUAGGGAAUCUUCCGCAAUGGGCGAAAGCCUGACGGAGCAACGCCGCGUGAGUGAUGAAGGUCUUCGGAUCGUAAAACUCUGUUAUUAGGGAAGAACAUAUGUGUAAGUAACUGUGCACAUCUUGACGGUACCCAAUCAGAAAGCCACGGCUAACUACGUG